rnacentral:rRNA from 1 species
CCUACGGGAGGCAGCAGUGAGGAAUAUUGGUCAAUGGACGAGAGUCUGAACCAGCCAAGUAGCGUGAAGGAUGACUGCCCUAUGGGUUGUAAACUUCUUUUAUAAAGGAAUAAAACGAGGCACGUGUGCCUUUUUGCAUUUACUUUAUGAAUAAGGAUCGGCUAACUCCGUGCCAGCAGCCGCGGUAAUACGGAGGAUCCGAGCGUUAUCCGGAUGUAUUGGGUUUAAAGGGAGCGUAGAUGGGUUGUUAAGUCAGUUGUGAAAGUUUGCGGCUCAACCGUAAAAUUGCAAUUGAUACUGGCAGUCUUGAGUACAGUUGAGGUAGGCGGAAUUCGUGGUGUAGCGGUGAAAUGCUUAGAUAUCACGAAGAACCCCGAUUGCGAAGGCAGCUUACUAAACUGUGACUGACAUUGAUGCUCGAAAGUGUGGGUAUCAAACAGGAUUAGAUACCCUGGUAGUC